UGGGCGUAAGGGCUCGCAGGCGGUUUUUUAAGUCUGAUGUGAAAGCCCCCGGCUCAACCGGGGAGGGUCAUUGGAAACUGGGGAACUUGAGUGCAGAAGAGGAGAGUGGAAUUCCACGUGUAGCGGUGAAAUGCGUAGAGAUGUGGAGGAACACCAGUGGCGAAGGCGACUCUCUGGUCUGUAACUGACGCUGAGGAGCGAAAGCGUGGGGAGCGAACAGGAUUAGAUACCCUGGUAGUCCACGCCGUAAACGAUGAGUGCUAAGUGUUAGGGGGUUUCCGCCCCUUAGUGCUGCAGCUAACGCAUUAAGCACUCCGCCUGGGGAGUACGGUCGCAAGACUGAAACUCAAAGGAAUUGACGGGGGCCCGCACAAGCGGUGGAGCAUGUGGUUUAAUUCGAAGCAACGCGAAGAACCUUACCAGGUCUUGACAUCCUCUGACAAUCCUAGAGAUAGGACGUCCCCUUCGGGGGCAGAGUGACAGGUGGUGCAUGGUUGUCGUCAGCUCGUGUCGUGAGAUGUUGGGUUAAGUCCCGCAACGAGCGCAACCCUUGAUCUUAGUUGCCAGCAUUCAGUUGGGCACUCUAAGGUGACUGCCGGUGACAAACCGGAGGAAGGUGGGGAUGACGUCAAAUCAUCAUGCCCCUUAUGACCUGGGCUACACACGUGCUACAAUGGACAGAACAAAGGGCAGCGAAACCGCGAGGUUAAGCCAAUCCCA
rnacentral:rRNA from 1 species